CAGAGCCAAGGAAGCGGCACAGGGACAGGCUGACGAUGUUGACCGUUCAUAUGGAUCAGUGUGUUUCCCGCCAGAACCAGAUGUAAAGACCCUUUCACUGAAAACUCCAUGUUCUUUGGCUUCAGGAAAGAGCAAAAUCAAGCAUCAAGCUGCAACUGACCUGGACCCUUCCUUCCUGGUGGCCAGCUUUCCUGAUGCUGGGAUGUGCUUUGCAGGUUCUGGGAGAGAAAACUCAUGAGCAGGCUUAAGUUAAUGUGCUACACGAGUGACCUGCUGAGCAAUGUGCUACUAGAGUGAUAGUUUUAUCACUGUCAAGGGAAUAGCCAGCUGCUUUGGAUUGUAUUUGAGGUCAGCUCCACUUGGAAUUCACAUUAGGUGCUAGGAAGCUGUUCAGUGACCCUUGGCUGGGAAGCCACUAGGCCCUGCUAUGGAAGGUUCUACUGUUUUGCUAAAUGAGCAAGUUGCACCCAGCAAAUUGCCUUCUAAAUAGUUAUGUCUAUGCCUACAUAUUAGUGGUGCUCUCAGCUUUGGUCACACAAACUUCUUUUUUCAGUUUGUGGCAGCUAUUGCAGCAGAGGCUCAGGGUCAAUGUGCUAAGAGUUGGUGGCUGUUGAAGACUCAGCACUGAAUAGGACAUCAAUAUCAUUCCAAGGCUCAGGGAACAUUGUGGAAGAUGGAGUGGAAAAAAAAAUCUAAGAGACAGUAGAGGUAGUGGGAACGGAUGGGACUCUGUCUUCAGGCAACAUCAUGUUCCUCCGCACACAUGAACUCAGAGCAACGUCUGCCCAAGUCUGGGUACCUCAACAUUGCAUCACAGUGUUUAUACCUGUGGCAUGAUCAAAGAGGCUUGGUAAUGAAGAAAUUCAUGGCUGGCCAAGGUGCUGAGAGCAAGUGACUGAUCAGUGCUCAUAGAAUAUUGUAGAAGGGAAUUGUGAGCACCAGACAAUGGUGGGAGAGGGGGCUGAGAUAUGCUGUCUUCAGGGAGGGGAAUGACACGAUUGUGGUUCGCAUGAAUUCAGAGCAGCUACAAUUACCUGAGCCUAUACAAGAUGGAGCUUAUAAAUCUUCAUUCUCUUAACUGUGUUUGCCACCAGAGCUGGAUGUGAAGCCCCUGUUGGCUGAGAACUCCACUGCUGUGGUUUUAAGGCAUAGAGAAAUCAAGGGGAAGCCAGCCGAGCUGGAAGCUUUCUCCCUGCUGGCUGAUCUGAUAGUGCCAGAGCAUGCUGUGAAUGAAGAUCCUGAGGGGGAAAAAGUCUUCACUGAGCUUACUCAGUUCCAGGCCCUCUGCCACAAUAACCACCUGCUAGGCAUUAUACUCACCGCCAAAGUGAAGGGAAAGUCACACAAAGAGUUCACACUGAGGCUCAGAGGAGCCAAUGAACAAGGACUUUCAGGCAAAUCUGGGACUGUAAAGACUUAUGAAGUCUUUUCAAGAGUGACUAGGUGCAUUGUACACUGAGAUGCAUAGGAGCCUGUAGAAACUAAGACAUUUGGAGCAGCAGGAGGCCAGUGAGACGAGAUUGGGAAUGUUAAAGCUAAGCCAUGUGAACCAAGCUCAUCCCAACAGCUCCCAAAGUGUCUGAAAGUAGAUCCUGGGUUCAUCAUUCUCGAUCCCGGCCUUGGAUCCAUUGCUACUAUGUGGAACUUUUCUGAAAACCGUAACC